UACGUAGGGUGCAAGCGUUGUCCGGAAUUAUUGGGCGUAAAGAGCUCGUAGGCGGCUUGUCGCGUCGGCUGUGAAAACCUGGGGCUCAACCCCGGGCCUGCAGCCGAUACGGGCAAGCUAGAAUUCGGUAGGGGAGUCUGGAAUUCCUGGUGUAGCGGUGAAAUGCGCAGAUAUCAGGAGGAACACCGGUGGCGAAGGCGGGACUCUGGGCCGAUACUGACGCUGAGGAGCGAAAGCGUGGGGAGCAAACAGG
rnacentral:rRNA from 1 species